CCUACGGGUGGCAGCAGUGGGGAAUAUUGGACAAUGGGGGGAACCCUGAUCCAGCGACGCCGCGUGAGUGAAGAAGUAUUUCGGUAUGUAAAGCUCUAUCAGCAGGGAAGAAAAUGACGGUACCUAACUAAGAAGCCCCGUCUAACUACGUGCCAGCAGCCGCGGUAAUACGGAGGGGGCAAGCGUUAUCCGGAUUUACUGGGUGUAAAGGGAGCGUAGACGGUGCAGCAAGUCUGUUGUGAAAGGUCGGGGCCCAACCCCAGGACUGCAUGGGAAACUGUUAGACUGGAGUACAGGAGAGGUGAGCGGAAUUCCUGGUGUAGCGGUGAAAUGCUUAGAUAUUACGAGGAACACCGGUGGCGAAGGCAGCUCACUGGACUGUAACUGACAUUGAGGCUCGAAAGCGUGGGGAGCAAACAGGAUUAGAUACCCGGGUAGUC
rnacentral:rRNA from 1 species